rnacentral:rRNA from 1 species
UACGAAGGGUGCAAGCGUUAAUCGGAAUUACUGGGCGUAAAGGGUGCGUAGGCGGUUCGUUAAGUCUGUUGUGAAAUCCCCGGGCUCAACCUGGGAAUGGCAAUGGAUACUGGCUAGCUAGAGUGUGUCAGAGGAUGGUGGAAUUCCCGGUGUAGCAGUGAAAUGCGUAGAGAUCGGGAGGAACACCAGUGGCGAAGGCGGCCUUCUGGACCAAUACUGACGCUCAUGCACGAAAGCGUGGGGAGCAAACAGG